rnacentral:rRNA from 1 species
AUUGAACGCUGGCGGCAUGCCUAACACAUGCAAGUCGAACGGUAACAGGCCCUUCGGGGCGCUGACGAGUGGCGGACGGGUGAGUAAUGCUUAGGAAUCUACCUUGUAGUGGGGGAUAACCCGAGGAAACUCGGGCUAAUACCGCAUACGCCUUACGGGGGAAAGCGGGGGACCUUCGGGCCUCGCGCUAUAAGAUGAGCCUAAGUCCGAUUAGCUAGUUGGUAGGGGUAAUGGCCUACCAAGGCGACGANCGGUAGCUGGUCUGAGAGGACGACCAGCCACACUGGGACUGAGACACGGCCCAGACUCCUACGGGAGGCAGCAGUGGGGAAUAUUGGACAAUGGGCGCAAGCCUGAUCCAGCGAUG